UGGUAGGUAGUUGAAAGGUAAAACACCAAAAACAUCCUUAAUUCAUACCUUGCCUAAAAAGGCCGACGAGUUGAGGGUUAUCGCCUGUAACGCGGGAGAUGCGGGUUCGAUUCCCGCCCUACCAC
rnacentral:tRNA from 1 species